UACGGAGGAUCCAAGCGUUAUCCGGAUUUAUUGGGUUUAAAGGGUGCGUAGGCGGCCUAUUAAGUCAGGGGUGAAAGACGGUAGCUUAACUAUCGCAGUGCCUUUGAUACUGAUGGGCUUGAAUGUACUUGAGGUAGGCGGAAUGUGACAAGUAGCAGUGAAAUGCAUAGAUAUGUCACAGAACACCAAUUGCGAAGGCAGCUUACUAAAGUAUGAUUGACGCUGAGGCACGAAAGCGUGGGGAUCAAACAGG
rnacentral:rRNA from 1 species